AAAAUGUCUUACUUCCAAGUGACAGUCAUUUGUGGACUGCUUAUAGCAUGUUAUCAAUGAUGUAGCACAACCAGCAUCAUUAUUCAAACGACCUGACCCACAGUCGGGUCGUUAUAGAGAUAGAUAUUUGUGUUGAUGUAUGUUAUACAUGUACAUCGGGAUCUUCACAUCCCUCCAGGUGAUC